rnacentral:rRNA from 1 species
UACGGAGGGUGCAAGCGUUAUCCGGAUUCACUGGGUUUAAAGGGUGCGUAGGUGGGAAUGUAAGUCAGUGGUGAAAUCUCCGUGCUUAACAUGGAAACUGCCAUUGAUACUAUGUUUCUUGAAUUUUCUGGAGGUCAGCGGAAUAUGUCAUGUAGCGGUGAAAUGCUUAGAUAUGACAUAGAACACCAAUUGCGAAGGCAGCUCACUAAAAGUGUGAUUGACACUGAGGCACGAAAGCGUGGGGAUCAAACAGG